GCCGUUCUCCCGGUUAAUGGAGAUGUGUCAUUGGGUGAUUCCUAUUUCUUAUGGUAUGAGUAGAUUUUAUAAUUAAAAUUUGGUUUGCAAUAAGAUGAUAAUGAUAGUGAUAAUAUUCCUACGUUUUAAACUGACGAUUUAUAAAUGUUUGCAAAUAAACUGUUUAUCAAAAAUAGGGAAAAACUAUUUACAAUAGGCUUGUUAUAAACCAUCUUGAUGAACCCUAUAUCAUUAUACUACUUGCAUAUAUUCUACUUGUAUUCUUGGAUCGUGGUUUGCUGGGUACGUUCGUACUCACCCCUUGCAUAAAAUAUGGUUCAGAAGAGCAGGUCUUCGUCAAGGUUACUCGUGUU
rnacentral:lncRNA from 1 species